ACUCCAAAUCUUGCCGUAUGUGUCUAUGGACAUCUUUUCUCAUAUUGUUGACCGCUUUUGUUAAUUUUUUUGUUGCCAGUAAAUUUUCCAGAAGUAAUUCAUCCGUCCGGCUAUACCGAUAUUGUUCUUCCAGUUGAGGUGGUUGAGUCUGGGCUGUCUGCUCAUCCACAAUGGGGGCAUGGUCUUCUGUUGAUGUUUGGUCAACGAUGACAGAUGACGAUGGUGAAAAGCAUGUUGCUUGAAUAUUUACAACAGGACUUCCCUCUGCACAAAGAACAGUUUGUUAUAACUUACGUGGAGGAGUAGUGGGCAUCUCUCCACUUCCGAAGGCUGCUACUGGUGGGAUCAGAAUCCGAGUUACUAACACUGUUAAAUAUAGAAUAAAAUCAGCACAAGCCAAGGUACUUACCACCAAAACUAGGCUGAGGCGUGCUUGGGGCUGAUCGCCCUGCAGAAUGUUUUCGGUGAUCUGGAAAACAUCAAGGAUAAGAGACAGAUACUUACCAGAACUAGGCUGAUCAGUGCUUGGGGCUGAUGAUCGCCCUGCAGAGUUUUUUUCGGUGAUCUGGAAAACAUCAAGGAUAAGAGACAGAUACUUACCAGAACUAGGCUGAUAAGUGCUUGGGGCUGAUGAUCGCCAUGCAGAAUUUUUUCGUGGAUCUGGAAAAUAUCAAGGAUAAGAGACAG